UACAGAGGGGGCAAGCGUUGUUCGGAAUUACUGGGCGUAAAGGGCGCGUAGGCGGCCUGUUAAGUCGAACGUGAAAUCCCCGGGCUCAACCCGGGAACUGCGUCCGAUACUGGCAGGCUUGAAUUCGGGAGAGGGAUGCGGAAUUCCAGGUGUAGCGGUGGAAUGCGCAGAUAUCAGGAGGAACACCUAUAGCGAAGGCAGCUCGCUGGGACGGUACUGACGCUGAGGAGCGAAAGCGUGGGGAGCGAACAGG
rnacentral:rRNA from 1 species